GAUGAACGCUGGCGGCGUGCCUAAUACAUGCAAGUCGAGCGAACGGACGAGAAGCUUGCUUCUCUGAUGUUAGCGGCGGACGGGUGAGUAACACGUGGAUAACCUACCUAUAAGACUGGGAUAACUUCGGGAAACCGGAGCUAAUACCGGAUAAUAUUUUGAGCUGCAUGGUUCAAAAGUGAAAGACGGUCUUGCUGUCACUUAUAGAUGGAUCCGCGCUGCAUUAGCUAGUUGGUAAGGUAACGGCUUACCAAGGCAACGAUGCAUAGCCGACCUGAGAGGGUGAUCGGCCACACUGGAACUGAGACACGGUCCAGACUCCUACGGGAGGCAGCAGUAGGGAAUCUUACGCAAUGGACGAAAGCCUGACGGAGCAACGCCGCGUGAGUGAUGAAGGUCUUCGGAUCGUAAAACUCUGUUAUUAGGGAAGAACAUAUGUGUAAGUAACUGUGCACAUCUUGACGGUACCUAAUCAGAAAGCCACGGCUAACUACGUG
rnacentral:rRNA from 1 species